rnacentral:rRNA from 1 species
ACGUUGGAUUACCAGUGAGCGGCGGACGGGUGAGUAACACGUGGGCAACCUGCCCUGGAGCGGGGGAUAACAUCUGGAAACAGGUGCUAAUACCGCAUAACAACGAAAACCACAUGGUUUUCGUUUCAAAGAUGGUUUCGGCUAUCACUUCAGGAUGGGCCCGCGGUGCAUUAGCUAGUUGGUAAGGUAACGGCUUACCAAGGCAAUGAUGCAUAGCCGAGUUGAGAGACUGAUCGGCCACAAUGGAACUGAGACACGGUCCAUACUCCUACGGGAGGCAGCAGUAGGGAAUCUUCCACAAUGGGCGCAAGCCUGAUGGAGCAACACCGCGUGAGUGAAGAAGGGUUUCGGCUCGUAAAGCUCUGUUGUUGGAGAAGAACGUGCGUGAGAGUAACUGUUCACGCAGUGACGGUAUCCAACCAGAAAAGUCACGGCUAACUACGUGCCAGCAGCCGCGGUAAUACGUAGGUGGCAAGCGUUAUCCGGAUUUAUUGGGCGUAAAGCGAGCGCAGGCGGUUGCUUAGGUCUGAUGUGAAAAGUCUUCGGCUUAACCGAAGAAGGGCAUCGGAAACCGGGCGACUUGAGUGCAAAAGAGGACAGUGGAACUCCCAUGUGUAGCGGUGG